CUGUGCCUGGGCCAUAUGGAAGUUCCCAGGCCAGGGAUUGAUUGAACAUGUACUAUAGCAGCGACCCAAGCUACUGCAGUGAAAAAUGCCAGAUCCCUAACCCACUGCACCACAAGAGAACUCCCUAGAACACCCUAUUUAAAUUCUUUUUAAAACCAGGAAUAAUGAAUUUUACCAAAUGGGUUUAAUUUUUGGUCAUUCAACUUAUUAACAUAGUGAAUUAUAUUAAAGGUUUUUCAACUAUCAAAUCAUCCUACAUUACUGAAAUAAAUUCCAUUUACUUUCUUUAUAUUAAUAAUUAAAUGCACUACAGGAUUAUAUUUAUGUGAUUUAUUUAGCAUUUUACAUUAACAUCCAUAAAUAACAUAUCUAUAUAUAUUUUCAUGGUGAAAUAUUUUGGCAGUUCAUACUUAGAAAAUUUUUUAUCUUUUUACAGCCACAUCCACAGCAUAUGAAAGUUCCUGGGCUAGGAGUGAAUCGGAGAUGCAGCUGCCAGCCUAUGCCACAGCCAUGGCAACAUAGAAUCCAAGCCACAUCUGUGACCUAUGCUGCAGCUUGCAGCAGUGCCAGAUCCUUAACCCAAAGGCCAGGGAUUGAGCUUGCGUCCUCAUGGCACUAUGUGGGGUCCUUAAACCACUGAGGCACAAUAGUAACUCCAGAAAAGUUUUUAAAAUAUUGGAAUUUUCUAUCCUUUAAAAGUUUAAUUGACUUCACCUGUGACUCCAGUCUGGGCUGAUGUUUUUUAGAAUGAAUAUUUGGAAACCCCAGCUUCUCCCUUCACUCAGAAGGGAUAACUCUGAGGCAUGAUCUGUGGUUUUUCAUAAUCCCUAACUACAUGGGAGGCAGCUGCUCACAGCAGGGACCUUCUCCAUAUUGCACCCUUAUGGGCAUCCUUCCCUUCCCUGUCUCUCUUCUCUACUUCCCAUCUAGUGAUUUCUUAGGUCAUCUUCCAAAUACACUGCACUGAAAUCUCUGUCUCAGUGUCUAAACCUGGAGCAAAGCAACCUAGACACUUUCCCAACAGCUCCAUAACAAAAUUCAUUUAAGCUUAUUACCAUUAAUUCUGAGUCUCAUUCAGAGUCAGAACAGAAAGAAAUCAGGCAUUGUGAGGUGAGAGUCAAUGAUGAAAAAAAGUUCUUUGUAGGAACAGUAUUUUCAAAUUCAAUGAUCAGGACAACUAGCUAACAAAUUGUGUCAUCAUUUCAUGAUUCAUUAUAACUGUUGAAUAACAAAGAUUUCCUAUGUUGGUAAAAAAUAUGCUAUUGUUAUGCUUUAAAAAAGAACAAUUGAAGAACACUAUGGCUGUUGUAAUUUUAAUUUGCCCUUUUAAAUUAACUUAUAGCAAAUCUGCAUUUGCCUAUACUUAAUCUUCGGAGUCUAAUAUAAUGUUCUAAAGUUUGAAGGAUUUUUAUGAUUACUAAUAACGUAAGUACUAAUAACAACUUGGGAUUUACAACUCUCUGUAUAGGUUGGGCUUAUUCCAAAUGAUGGAAACUGAUACCAAAGAAAAUCUAAGAGAAUAUCAAUACUUUUUUAAAAAGUCACAAUCCUAUAAAAAAGACACACUGAAGAAAUAUAUUAUUUACUAAUCUGUUAUUAAUAUAACAGACCUAAUCUGCUUUUAGAAGUUGAGUUUCUCUGGUGAUUUACUGGGACCUUAGUUAUACUGAAGGACUACUGUUUGCAGUACUUAUCAUGAGACACACAGGCAUUAAUUACACAGUCCAUCUUACCCAGUAGUGGUAUUGGCUAAAGAGGAUUCAGUGCUGUACUUACAUUUUAAGACUACCUUAUUCUUUCUGAUCAAGACAAGCUCCCUGCUGUGAAUACCUAUACAUCGAACGGAGUGAUUUUAUCUAAUAGAGACCUGAUUAUCUCAGGAAGGCAUACUUUCUUACUCUAUUUCAAAUGGAUAAGAUUUUUUUUUUUAAAUCAAACAACAUUUUUGGUGCACUUUCCCUGGGAAGAAAUUUACUUUUUCCAUGAUCAUUUAACAACUCUUUUUGGCAUCAGAUUAGUCUUAGAUACACAUCCUCCACCCAGUUUCACAACUCUCAAGGCUGCUUGUGGAUUUGGAAGAUUGACCUAGCCCAAACAUUCAUAUAAAGAAUGCCCUUGAGAGCAUAUUUUGAUUAGUCUGGACUCAAUUAAUAUCUGCUCUCUUCAGAUUUAAAUUUCACUCUCAUAAGAUAGCCAGAGACAAUUUUCCAAGAAAAAUAAUGUAAACCUUUUUAUUUGUAUUCUUAAAAAAAAAGAAACUACAUAUAUAAGAGAAAACAUAGUUUGGAUAGAUUUUUGAAAACUGCUAUUUUUAUUAACAUGGAUUUGUUCCUUUUGAAAUUUGAAUCAUUAUUUGCAAAGUAUAAUUCUGAACUAUUAAAAAAUCCACUUUAGUAAAGUAUGGAUUUAACCUUUUGUUAACAGACUUAUUUAUCUUCCUUUAGGUCUUUAAGAAUACCAUCUAUCAUCAAAAAAAAUACAGUAAUAACAAGUGAUGGUGAGGAUGUGAAGAAAAGGAAACCCUGUAUACUGUUGGUGAGAAUGUAAAUUUGUGCAGCCACUGUAGAAAGCAGUAUGGAGGUUUCUCAAAAAAUUAAAAAUAGAACUACUCUGUGACCCAGCAAUUCCAUUCCUGGGUAUAUAUCUGAAAAAAAAAAAAGACACUAAUUUGAAAAGAUACAUGCAUCCCAAUGUUCAUAGCAGUAUUAUUUGUAAUUGCCAAGAUAUGGAAGCAUAUCAAUCCAUCAAUGGAUGAAUGGAUAAAGGUGUGUGUGUGUGUGUGUGUGUGUGUGUGUGUAUUCCACAAUGGAAUACUACUUAGCAAUAAAAAGAAUGAAAUUUUGCCAUUUUCAGUGAUAUAGAUAGACUUGAGGGUAUUGUGUUAAGUGAAACAAGUCAGAGAAAGACAAAUACUAUAUGAUAUCACUUAUGAGUGGGAUCUAAAAAAAUACAACCAACUAGUGACUAUAAGGAUAUGUUACACAGCACAAGGAAUAAUGCCAAUAUUUUGUAGUAACUAUAAAGAGAGUAUAACCUUUAAAACUAUGAGUCACUAUUUUGUACACCUAUAACAUUAAAUACUGUAAAUUAAUAACUAUAUCUCAAUAACACUAUACUUCAAUUAAAGACUUUUUUAAAUUGCCUAAAUUAAUGAAAGCCUGCUGAAAAAUUUUAAAGAAGUUUGGUAACUACAUUCUAUUUCAUGAUUUUAGAUAAAUUUUGUUCUGUUACAAAAAUCAAUGUAGCAUUUAACAUAUUUUUUUCCUUUAGAUAAUGUUCUAAUGAGAAGGCUUUAUGUGCAUUAUUUCAUUUUAUAACUUGACCAAGAUCAUCUGGCUAUUAAAUAGUGGAAUCAAGAGAGAAAUCCAGACAGUUUGAUUCCAAAAUUUAUGCUAUUUAUUAGAGUGUUUGUUUAUGAUACCCUUUCCAUAAAGGAUUUUUUUCCCAAGAUUAAUUUUAAAUCUGACCUGCAGGGAUACAUCAAAUGCAGUAAGAUUACAUAAAUUAGAAACAAACUCAGAAUGGAUAAGUAAUGAGAUCCUGUUGUAUAACACUGGGAACUAUACCUAGUCACUUAUGAUGGAGCAAAAAAAAAAAAAAAAAAGAUAAUAUUCUAAGAAAGGUAAGUUUCUAGAGAAAAAAUUUAAAAUGUGGUGGUAAAUACCAAGAGCUAUUUUAUAAGGUCAGAGAUUUGGUUGUUACUAUACAAAAUGGUGACAUAAGUAAAAUUUGUCAGGAACAUUCACAUACCAUUUACUUACUCUUUUGGAGGAAGGGGACUCUGUCAUCUCAGAAUCUUAGACCCAGUACCAACCCUCAACUUGGGAAGGAAAGAUGCCCUAAACAAAUUAGAACUGGGGAUGCCAAUUGCACAUUUCACAAACGAGGUAACUCAGACACCAAAAGGACAAUGCAUUUGCUCAAUUUCCAGAGGAACCAAGUUAGAAAAUGGUACAUGUAUACUGAUUAACAUUCAGUUAAUGGGUCAUGUUGCAAUUCUAAUAAUAAAACAACUAUUAUAUCUGAGAAGUCACAAAAAUUAUUCCUAUUGUGCUAAAUUUCAUUAACAUAAUAAUAUUAAUAGAAUGUCCUAUUUUUUCUGUAAAGCCCUAUUGAAGGGUGACAUCUUUAAAAUUUAAUUUUAUAUAGUCUCCUCAAGCAAGCUGUCUCCUCUCAAUCCAGUCCAGUUUAGGUGCUCUUCCCACAUGCUUCCAUAGUUCCCUUUCUCCAUCAUGGUACUUUCUCUACCUUGAUUGUCUUAUGUCUUACCCAUCUCCUCCAGUGAACUCUAAACUCUUCGAAUACAGACAUCAAAUUUAUGCAUCUCUAUGCACUAAAAUCAUGUUAUUGACUCGAAUAAAAUAGGUGCCCAGUCAGUGCUAAAUGGAUGAAUUAAUGAAUAUUCAUGGUUCCAAGACCCCAUUAUUAUUGCCUACCCCUAAGAUCUGCUCACAGCUUGUUCUCAAGGUAAUCAAGAUUUUAGUUAAUAUAGGUUACCAUGAUGUUCCUCUUAAAGAUAUUUAAGUUUUCACUGGGGACAUAUAAGAGUCUACAAAAAUUCUGGUAAUGGACUUUCAGUCAUUGUAAUAGACUAUUAGGGAGGGAAGGAUGUACUUUUUUAAACAGAGAGACUCUCCAUAUCACAUCACCACUUAAACAGCCCACAUCACCACCACCCAGCCUUGGUGUUAUGCAGAGACAACAAACAGAUAUGUAUGCUUUCAGAGAGAUCCCGUGGGUCUGAUGAAUGCUAAGGUACAUGAAACCAUAUUGCUGUGAUUGGACCUGACUAGAUUAAACUUCCUUUUGGCUUGCUUUGCAAUGCUUCUGGUAUGAGAUGAUAUGAAAGAGAGAAGUAGUACAUGGCUAGUUGCAACCUUAGUAAGCAUGUGUCUUAUGGUUGCUGAGGCCUCCACUUUUUGCUAUUUUGAUUCUCACCUGGUAAUGAUUCCAGAUGUAUGACAUCUGAAAAAGACAU
rnacentral:lncRNA from 1 species